rnacentral:rRNA from 1 species
UAAAAGAAUAAAUUAUAUAUACAUAUUUAAUAAAUUAAUUUUAAAUUUUUAAAAUGGUUGUGAAAAUUUAAAGAUUUAGAAUUAAUAAAAAUUUUUUAAAUAUUUUAAAAACUAGGGUUAGAUGCCUAUUAUUUUUAUCAUAUAAUUUUAAGUAUUAAAUAUUAAAAUAUGAAACUUAAAUUACAUGGCAGUAUUUUACUCCCUGCAGAGGAAUUUGAAUAUUAAAUGAUAAACCUCACUUUUUUUAAUUUAAUUUUAUUUUAUGUGUGGUUGUUUAAAUAAAUAAUAAAUUAUAAAUUUAAAAUCAGAUUUUAUGUAAAAAUAAUUAAAAUUAUUUAAUUUACAAUUAUUUAUAUUAUUAGGAUUUGCAUGUAAUAAUUUUUUAAAUAAAAUUAUGAUGAUGUUAUAAAAUGUGUACAUAUUGUCCGUCACUCUCAGAAAU